ACAGUACUCCCCCGUCCGGAAAUAUUUGUCAUCAAAAUGAACAAAAGGGGUUGUAUCUAGAUGUAGAUAUAUCCCUUUUUAUUCAUUUUGAUAACAAGUAUUUUCGGACGAAGGAAGUAUUAU
rfam:Triticum aestivum genome assembly, contig: Triticum_aestivum_CS42_TGACv1_scaffold_222763_3B